CUACUACCUCUUCUUCUAUUACACGUUCACUUGCUAAUACAUGUUCUACUUCUGUGCUAUUUUUUUAGUGAAGAUAGAGAAUAUGCGUGCUUGUAAGUCUCCAGCUGUGCUAUCUUGUCUUGGAUCGAUCUCCCUGUUCCGGUGGAUGCCAAGCCUCCAGCUGCAGGGUAAACUAGAUCAUUACAUUGAAGACAGAUAAUAUGCGUGCUUGUAAGUCUCCAACUGUGCUAUCUUGUCUUGGAUCGAUCUCCCUGUUCUGGUGAAUGCCAAGCCUCCAGCUGCAGGGUAAACUAGAUCAUUACAUGUACUGAAGCCCUGCCAUGACUCCGACCAUGUCUCCGGCAAGGCGGCGUCUACAAUACGAGAGCACCACCCUACGUGACCUCUGCAGUGAUGAAAGGCGCAAACCAAAGGCCUCCUGGAGGGCUCGCUGGAGAUUUGCUGGUACACUAGAUACAAGAAUGAUACUGGAUAUUUUUGAGAUUUGCUGGUAUGCUAGAUACAGGAAUGAUACUGGAUAUUUUUUCGUAAAAAUAGUUGCAUCCUCUUGAACAUGUAAUUUUUUAUUUUAAUUAUGAUAUGAUUAGUACCACAAUAACCUUUUAGAAGAUCUGAUUA